CCUUCCCCGCCCCUUCAACUACUAGCCACUCAAAUUCCACUCUCCCGUUUAAAAAAAAAUUUUUUUUCUCCCGUUUGAAAUUUGCGGCGACCCCCACAACAGUCUCUCCAAGUCCCGCCCCUCACUGUUUACCUCAGCUCCACCCCUAACCUAUGAUUCCCCAGAGGCCCCACCUUUCUUUGAUUGAAACCCCACCCCUCAGCGAGCGGUUCGCUUAGCACCGCCCCUUCCCACAAGGGCUCCCCACCCCACCCUCAAGCCCCACCCUCCGCGAUGAUUGAUUCUAGCUCCUCCCUCUUCUUAAAGGUUGCUUCUAAGCCCCGCCUUCCACCCUGUCAGUCUACACCAGCCCCGGCCCCAGCAGAUGCUUGAAUGAAGGGGAGGGAAGCUGUGCUGGGCCCCUGAAGAAGACGCAGCCGGAAGGGUGGAGGGAGUCAGCAGAGAACCACUCCGCGUCCCCGACCCUUCCACACGCGGCUCUCUCGUUGAGGGCCAAAGCGCAUGCUCCGUCGCCGGCGCGGGGCAGUAGUUCUCGUGCCUCCGCUCUUCUGGGGCUCAAAUCGCUGGCAGGACCCAUACAUGAUACAAUUUUUCAACCUACUCCGCCUUCUGAUGGCACAGCCCAGGAGGCCUACGGAUGGAUGCGGCACAGCAGGCCUCCAAAGGGAAAGCUAUGGAUAUCUCUUCUAUUGCUUAAUUUGACUACUCCCCUGGAUUCGAACAGCCAUCAUGAAUCAGAAAAAGCCCCUAGAGAACGGACUGUUGGGAGCCAUAGAGCAGUCAUAAAAACUCAGCUAGUGUCCCUGCACGUUCCCCUCAGGCCGGUGGGUUAAUAUCCCUGGGCUGGGAAAUAGAAGAAAGUUCAGGUGACUUCAGGGUACAACUCCCAGGCCAACUUGGCCCCCAGGAGAAACAAGAUGACCAACAUGGGGUGUGGGUCAGGAAAGCAGGCGGGAAAAUCUUGGUAGAGUUCCCUUAUGAAUCAUUACUAUAGAAAUUACCAUGCACAUUGUUACAGUCAAGAUCAAUAGAAUGAGUUCUGCUCAUUCUACUGUAAAUAGAUUCAGGGAACUAUGGAAAAACAUGCCCCCACAGCGAGCCUAGGUGGGAGUCCUGGUAAUUUAAGACACAUUCAGAAGACAUUGUGGUGCCUUGUAGAAAUUUAACCUGAGAUUAUAGAGCAACAAAAGUCUUGAGGGAAGGACCAUAAUGACCUUUCCUGGUUGGGAAAGCAGGGGAACAUUCCGAGAAAUAGAUGAUGCCAUAAAUCACUUAAUGACACAUGUUUUAUGUUAAUUUUGCAAUGAUUUCAUGUAACCAAUCCCCUAUAUAUUGCUUGAAGUUUCUGACAAUAAACAGACCAGCUUAGCA